rnacentral:rRNA from 1 species
UACGGAGGAUGCGAGCGUUAUCCGGAUUUAUUGGGUUUAAAGGGUGCGUAGGCGGGCUUUUAAGUCAGCGGUAAAAAUUCGGGGCUCAACCCCGUCCGGCCGUUGAAACUGGCGUUCUUGAGUGGGCGAGAAGUAUGCGGAAUGCGUGGUGUAGCGGUGAAAUGCAUAGAUAUCACGCAGAGCUCCGAUUGCGAAGGCAGCAUACCGGCGCCCUACUGACGCUGAGGCACGAAAGCGUGGGUAUCGAACAGG